rnacentral:snoRNA from 1 species
UUCCGUUUGUCUACACUCUGGAUCUCGGCUGGAUUUCAUGGUUGCUUGAUGUGGAACGUUCAACUAGUACACGCCAAGCUAUUCCCUGUUUUCUAUUAUACACCGUGUUGAGCUCCAAUUUUAAUAGCAAACAAGAUUCAUUCUGUCAAUUACUCACCGAGAUAAGCCCUGCAGAGUGCACUUCUUCUCGAAGUUGUUACUCGCCGUGGCUAUAUUGGUCCAUUUCACUGACAAACAU